GACGAACCGUGCGAACGUUGUUCGGAAUCACUGGGCUUAAAGGGCGCGUAGGUGGUUUGCCAAGUCGGGGUUGAAAUCUUUCGGCUUAACCGGAAAAGUGGCUUCGAUACUGGCAAGCUGGAGGGAGGUAGGGGCGGAUGGAACUUCCGGUGGAGCGGUGAAAUGCGUAGAGAUCGGAAAGAACACCAACGGCGAAAGCACUCUGCUGGGCCGACACUGACACUGAGAGACGAAAGCUAGGGGAGCGAAUGGG
rnacentral:rRNA from 1 species